rnacentral:lncRNA from 1 species
CCGUUUUCUUUUUUAAUUUCAAACUUCAAAUAUUAUAAUCUCUCUUACAAAAAUAACAUCUACUAAUUAAAUAUUGACAAUACAGUGAUAAAAAUAAACAGAUGACAUAAAAUCUUUAAAAGAAGAACUUUGAAUCCAGAUUCACGAAUUUUGCUUGAAUUAAAAAGUUAUUCCUCGUAGAAGCACACAGUCACAACCUUAUUAAACUUCAUCAGUUACAUUUGUCUCUUACUUGUCUUUGGUGGGCCACCCAUACCAGAUAUCUAAAAAGAAAAGACACAUUCUUCAAUAAUAUAAUUUUAUUCUUGACAUGCUAUUUAAAUGCAAUUCAUAUUCAUCAAUUAUUUUGAAGCUGAAAAAGCCUAAAACCCACAAAUGAUGACAGCAAAUUUCUUUCUCCAGUUCCUUACUGCAGAGAAACGUUUACACAAUUGAGAUAAGAUCUUAGACCUCAAUGAUUGCAUGGAUCGAUGUAACACGGCAGCAAGCGAUCGAACUUGUCUCGAGCUGGUGCCACAUGGAAACUACAAAAGCCUAUAAAAAGGGAAAAACCCACCAAGAAAAACAAAUAUGAAGAAUAACAAUUCUAAGAUAAGAUGAUCAGAUUUGGAAGAAAGUGUGCAAUUUCCAAUCAUGAUAUACAAAAGAAGGAUGGCCAAGUGAAACUUAAAAAAAAAAAAAGUUUACUCUAGCUAGUGAAGACUUUG